CACUGAUGGCCUUGUGCUCCAGAGAGGACGAUGGCAUGGGGAAAAGGAGGAGAAACUCUGCCCUUUGUGAAGAAAUAGUUUUGCUUUUUCUACCUUUUGAAUAUGUCUGUCACUAAGGGCAAUCACUGAGACACUCAGGCACCGUUGUGUUGAGGCCUAGACAUACUUCUUAAUCUUCUAAGAUCCAAAUAAAUGAUAUAACAUAUGAAAAAAAUCCAGAAAGAAGGGAAAGGAACCCACAAAGAACCAUCCGGACAGGAAUCUCAAAGACCCAUGGAAGUGUGCAAGUGGAUCAGUUCGAUGAAGAACUGUGCUGCUUUAGCCCAAAGGGUACCACCAUUACACAGCAUCAUAGGAUCAACUUGAUUGGAAACGACUUCUGGGAUGAUCAAGUCCACCUGUGACCCAACACAUGUUGUCUAGCAGACCAUGGCACUGAGUGUACAUCCAGUCUUUCCAUACACGUCUCCAGGGAUGAUGACUCCACAACCUCCCUGGGCAACCCAGUACA